rnacentral:lncRNA from 1 species
CUCAUUAUUUCCUUCCCACUUUAGGUGGGACAGGAUGUCGAGAGGGGCUAGAGGGGCUAGAGCAAGUAGUUCCCCUCUCCAUGUGGAAGGCUAGUGGGAGCUGAAGCUGGGAAUUUCCCUUCCCCCAGGUCAGUUAGGCUCUGGUAAAAUAAAUUCUCCUGAGGGCAGGCUGUGUUAAGAACAGAACGUUCUGGUGCAUUUCAAAAUGGUUGCUUCCUCCCAUCCCUGCCAGAAGCACAAGGGGAUUUUCUCUGAUUUUCACUCUAAGAACCUAAUAGGGCUCCUGGAGAUAAUACUCACAAAAGCGCGGGGGCCCUCCGUGAAUGGCACCCCUAGAGUUUUUAAUUCUCAGAGCUUCCAGCAAUUCAUCAAUUACAGUUCAGGUUUUCUGCCCCCAGCUGGUUCCUGGAGGUUUCUGCUCAGAGAUGAUGGGUUUUGCCGUGUUGUCCAGACUGAAAAAGCUUACAUGUUAUAAGCUUUAGCCUCACCUUAUUUAUACAGGUAAGUUCCUAAUUCUCAAUAAUAUACAUUACUAUGGAGAAAAACAGUUCCUGAAAUUACCUGAGAGUAAAAUUCCAGCUUCAUAAUGACAUACUGAUCCUGGGAGAUCCUGCACU